UACGGGGGGAGCAAGCGUUGUUCGGAUUUACUGGGCGUAAAGGGCGCGUAGGCGGCGUGACAAGUCACUUGUGAAAUCUCCGGGCUUAACCCGGAGCGGCCAAGUGAUACUGUCGUGCUAGAGUGCGGAAGGGGCUACUGGAAUUCUCGGUGUAGCGGUGAAAUGCGCAGAUAUCAGGAGGAACACCAAUGGCGAAGGCAGCUCGCUGGAACGGUACUGACGCUGAGGCGCGAAAGCGUGGGGAGCGAACAGG
rnacentral:rRNA from 1 species